AGUGAACGCUGGCGGCAGGCCUAACACAUGCAAGUCGAGCGGCAGCGCAGGUAGCAAUACCGGGCGGCGAGCGGCGGACGGGUGAGUAAGGCAUCGGAAUCUGCCCUGAUGUGGGGGAUAACGUAGGGAAACUUACGCUAAUACCGCAUACGACCCCAAAUCGACAGGUUUGGGAUGAAAGCGGGGACCUUUGGGCCUCGCGCAGCAGGAUGAGCCGAUGUCCGAUUAGCUAGUUGGUGGGGUAAGGGCCCACCAAGGCGACGAUCGGUAGCCGGCCGGAGAGGGUGGUCGGCCGCACUGGGACUGGGACACGGCCCAGACUCCUACGGGAGGCAGCAGUGGGGAAUCUUGGACAAUGGGGGCAACCCUGAUCCAGCCAUGCCGCGUGUGUGAAGAAGGCCUUCGGGUUGUAAAGCACUUUUGUACGGGACGAAAGCGUAUCGGUUAAUACCCGGUGCGGAUGACGGUACCGUAAGAAUAAGCACCGGCUAACUUCGUGCCAGCCGCCGCAGUAA
rnacentral:rRNA from 1 species